rnacentral:rRNA from 1 species
UACGGGGGGAGCAAGCGUUGUUCGGAUUUACUGGGCGUAAAUGGCGCGUAGGCGGCCACCGCAAGUCAAUUGUGAAAUCUCCGGGCUUAACUCGGAAAGGUCAACUGAUACUGCGGGGCUAGAGUGCAGAAGGGGCAACUGGAAUUCUCGGUGUAGCGGUGAAAUGCGUAGAUAUCGAGAGGAACACCUGCGGCGAAGGCGGGUUGCUGGGCUGACACUGACGCUGAGGCGCGAAAGCUAGGGGAGCGAACGGG